UGGGUGGUUUUGAUCAAGUGAGUCAUGC
rnacentral:piRNA from 1 species